rnacentral:rRNA from 1 species
GCUUACGGCCAUACAACCCUGUCUGCGCCUGAUCUAGGAAGCUAAGCAGGGUCGGUCCUGGUUAGUACUUGGAUGGGUGACUGCCUGGGAAUACCAGGUGCUGUAAGCU